GCGCCUGUAGCUCAGUUGGAUAGAGCAACGGCCUUCUAAGCCGUGGGUCGAGGGUUCGAAUCCCCCCAGGUGCACCA
rnacentral:tRNA from 3 species